ACGUAUGUCUCGAGCGUUACCCGGAAUCACUGGGUGUAAAGGGUUCGUAGGCGGCUUAGUAAGUUGGACAUGAAAGACCGGAGCUCAACUCCGUGUUUGUAUUCAAAACUGCUAAGCUAGAAUUAGGGAGAGGUAAGCGGAAUUCUAAGUGUAGGGGUGCAAUCCGUAGAUACUUAGAGGAACACCAAAAGCGAAGGCAGCUUACUGGAACUAUAUUGACGCUGAGGAACGAAAGCGUGGGGAGCGAAAAGG
rnacentral:rRNA from 1 species